CCUUGCGACGGUGGCGCAGGAGGUGGGACCGGCUGGCGGGAAGGCUCGGGGCGCCGGCGCACGCGGAGUGGGGACCUCGGGGGUCGGACGCCGCUCGCAGGAGCCGCGGAGGGCCAGCCCAGCUCCAAGUUCCUAGCCCGGAGAGUCCCAUGCCUGGACGGCCCCGGCCUGGAGUCUGAGGUCGCAGCCGUGCUCCCGCAGCUGCGGUGGUCACGGAGAAGCAGCUGGAUCCCUGAGCGGCGUGUGGGAACUGCAGCUGGACGGCGGUCGCCGGAGGAGCAGCCACAUCGGACACCGCUGUCCCGUGCGCACAGGGCCCGGGACCGCGCUCCCCUGGCUGAGCCGCAGCGCGAUGGCCCGCUUGACCGCGGCCAUGCAGGCUUGAGCGGACGCCCAGGGCGCGCAGGGGACAACCGCGGGCGCAGGCUGCAGCACUCCGCCGCUGACUUCCCAGCCCCGCGGGCAGUGAAGCCGCUUGCCAUGGAGCCGGUGACCAAGUGGAGCCCCAAACAAGUGGUGGACUGGACUAGAGGGUUGGAUGACUGCCUGCAGCCGUACGUUCACAAGUUCGAGCGGGAGAAAAUAGACGGGGAGCAGCUGCUGAAGAUCUCCCACCAGGAUCUGGAGGAGCUGGGGGUCACACGGAUUGGACACCAGGAGCUCGUGUUGGAGGCUGUGGACCUCCUCUGUGCACUGAAUUAUGGCCUUGAAACCGAUAACAUGAAGAACUUGGUUCUGAAACUUCGAGCGUCUUCCCACAAUUUGCAGAAUUACAUCAGUAGCCGGCGGAAGAACCCGGCUUACGAUGGGAGCACGUCCCGCAAGCCCCCUAAUGAGUUCCUGACUUCUGUGGUGGAGCUCAUAGGCUCUGCCAAGGCCUUGCUGGCUUGGCUGGACCGGGCUCCGUUCACAGGGAUCACGGAUUUCUCUGUGACAAAGAAGAAAAUCAUCCAGCUGUGCUUGGACCUGACCACAACAGUCCAGAAGGAUUGCGUCGUAGCAGAGAUGGAGGAUAAAGUUUUAAAUGUGGUCAAGGUUUUAAAUGGCAUCUGUGAUAAAACAGUGCGCUCUACUACAGACCCUGUGAUGAGCCAGUGUGCAUGCCUGGAGGAAGUUCACUUACCGAAUGUUAGACCCGGGGAAGGCCUGGGCAUGUACAUCAAAUCAACCUAUGAUGGAUUGCAUGUGAUCACCGGAACCACAGAAAAUUCUCCUGCAGACAGGUCUCAGAAGAUUCACGCUGGUGAUGAAGUCAUUCAAGUUAACCGGCAGACUGUGGUCGGGUGGCAGCUGAAAAAUCUGGUGAGAAAGUUAAGAGAGAAUCCCACGGGUGUGGUGCUGCUGCUGAAGAAGAGGCCCAUAGGCUCGUUCAACUUUACUCCGGCCCCCCUGAAGAACCUCCGGUGGAAGCCGCCCCUCGUGCAGACCUCACCCCCACCCACCACGACCCAGUCCCCAGAGAGUACCAUGGAUGCCUCCCUGAAGAAGGAGAAGCCAGCCAUCCUGGAUCUGUAUAUUCCUCCCCCACCUGCUGUGCCCUACUCCCCCCGGGACGAGAAUGGGAGCUUUGCCUAUGGAGGACCCAGUAAGAGUAAACAGCCGUUGCCUGGGCGUAAGGGUUCCGAGUCCCCUAACUCCUUCCUGGACCAGGAGAGCCAAAGAUGCAGAUUUACCAUCGCUGAUUCCGACCAGUUGCCGGCUUACUCGGUGGGAACCAACAUUCUCCCCGCAAAAAUGAGAGGGAAGACACCAUCCUAUGGCAAACCCCGGCCUCUGUCCAUGCCUGCAGAUGGGAACUGGAUGGGGAUUGUGGACCCGUUUGCUAGACCUCGAGGUCACGGGAGGAAAGGGGAAGAGGCCCUCUGCCGCUACUUCAGUAAUGAGCGGAUCACACCCAUCACUGAAGAAAGCGCCUCGCCUGUGUACCGGUUCUCCAGACCCACAACUGAGCGGCACCUGGUGCGAGGUGCGGACUACAUUCGAGGGAGCAGGUGCUAUAUCAACUCGGAUCUGCACAGCAGCGCCACCAUUCCCUUCCAGGAGGAAGGGCCCAAGAAGAAAUCAGCCUCCUCAUCUGCCAAGGCAUCUUCUGGGGAGCCUUCGCUGCUCGUCACCUGGCUGACUCGCCUCAAGCUGUUGACUCACUGAGGCUGCUCCACCAGCCUCCUGCUGCCUGUCUCCUGCUAAGCAAGUGCCUUCUUCCUCAGGGGACAGCUGCUUCAGACUCCAUCCGCAUUGCUCCAGGCGACCUUACUUCAUUCCAUGGUGUUUUGUUUUUUAAGGUUGCAUGCGGCCGUUCCUGGAUUUUUGAAGUCCUUGGCGGGCGUCUGAUUCAGAGGAUCUUAGGUGCUGUUUGUGGAGGCAGAAGGAAGGACCGACAUGGCACAGCCUGCUCAUUUUUGCCUCCCCAUUGUGGGAACAUGGAGACAUGCUCUGUAAAUUGUGCAUUGGCCAGACAACUUAAUGUCAGGAAUUGGCAACAUUGUUCACUCUUGUUUUCUUGGGCAGCAGGGGACUAAGGUUGAUGACUUUUGUCACAUUGAUGUGUUGGUUUGUGGUCCAACUUCUGUGUCUGAAGAAGCCGAAGGAGAAAACUGUUUUGAUAUUUUUUUUUUUUAAAGCUAUAGCCCAUAUUUAUAAGUGUGGCUGCGUCCACGGCAGAGUGGCGUGGUGCACUUUAUACUGAUCAUUUCCAUGGACUCUUUACCUCCACUGGACCCCUGGUGAGGAACCCCCAGGUCUGAUCUUGCUAGUUUCCGGAUUUGCCACUGUUAAUCUCUACUAACCAGGGAAGGCAAGGGUGGCAUUAUGACACCGCUUGCUUCGAUGUGCUCUGUGCUUAUGGACAUGUCAAAAAGCAGCAAGAGUCAACUGAUAUUUCUGCCGGUGGCCAUGUCAGAGGAGCAGCAGGUGGCAAUUGAAGUUCAAGGUGUCAGCCCACCAGGAGGAAACUCUCUGAUGGGUCAGCCUGAGACGGGCAAGGCCCUGAGACCACAGACCACAGAGUGUCUUUUGCUUCUGCUGUUUGUCCCUGCCAAUUUCCUCUGGUAUCCGGCAUGGUGUGAAUGAGUGUGGGGAGAUCCCCACUGCCUGUAAUGUAGUGUGUUUAGCUCAUGGAAACAGCCUGUUCAACUGGGCAUUAUCUGUGGAUUGUCAUAAAGAUGGUUCCCUAAGCUUACUGCCUAAUUGAUAAUAAUAAUGAUAGCUUAUACAGAGUUUUGGUGAAUCAAAGUAAAACAAGGAGGUGUCAUACAGCUAGAACCCAUGAGUUUCUAUUGAGGAGCUGUAUAGAUUGUGGCUUACUUAAGUUAAUGAUUAAGAGAAACAAUUGAGUCCCAGUAGCCCAGCUGGCUUAAAUUCUUUUAAUCUUAAUGUUGGGAGAUGUGUUCACAGGUUACAGAGUGCAUAAUAGCUGAAACAAAGCUUUGAAAAUAACUUAAAGUUAGACUAAGAUGUUUUUGUCAAAUAGCUCUGAGGUGAAAAGCCCAAGAAGAUAAUCUAAAGUUUUAGAAAGGCACAGAGUUGAGUGAGGAACUCAUUAAGGUCAGGAAACAAGAACAAAGCAGUCCAAUUAUUACUAGCUGACACAUUUUUCUUGCUAGGAUUGGUUGAUAACCAAAGGUGAUGAAUAAUUCCUUAUACCCAUUUCUGCCCUCAGUCUCCUGAUAUAAAAAGAACUAUUGAUGAGUGGGUAUGUACCCUAAAGAUUUAAAGUAGAGCUGAUUGAUUCUUUUUCAUAUAUAAAAGUUUAGGUUUGUGAUUCCUUAUAAGAUUACCUUUCAAGGUAAGUAAUAAAGUAAUUGGCCCUUUCUUUGUAGCUGCAAAAUGCAGCCUGCCAGAAAAAGAUCAGACCAAGAAGAAUACCUUGCUUGCAUGCAUGGUUAAUCUAUACAACAAGUUGCUUGGGUAUGGAUAUAUGUGGGUUCUUAGGAUAAUUUGGUUUUCACCCAUAAUAUAUAAAAUGUUUAAUCAUGUAAGGGAUAUGGAAACAUGCUGUUUUUACUGUUUAUUUUAUAUUCGUUGUAAUCAUUCACUUGAAAAACAGAAUGUAACCACACUGUAAUUUUCAUAUUGCCUGAAAGAUUUUGCUGGGGCUAAAUAAGCUGUAAGGGAAAAAAUAGAGAUAGAGUUAGAGAGAGUUAAAAUGAGUUAGAAGGAAAACAUCUGGAAUGAGAGAAGGGAUAGAGAAUGCAAAGGAAGAAUAAAGAAAAGGUUUGAAGGAAACCGUCAAGAGAGUAUGCAAGUGUCUAUUUCCCUAACCUCCCUCAGAUAGAAAAGUCUUAGUUAUAUGCCAACACCAUGGAUUCAUUUCGAGCCCUGGGCUAUCUGGAGGCUGGU